rnacentral:rRNA from 1 species
CGCGUAGGCGGCGUUUUAAGUCGGGGGUGAAAGCCUGUGGCUCAACCACAGAAUGGCCUUCGAUACUGGGACGCUUGAGUCUGGUAGAGGUUGGUGGAACUGCGAGUGUAGAGGUGAAAUUCGUAGAUAUUCGCAAGAACACCGGUGGCGAAGGCGGCCAACUGGACCAGUACUGACGCUCAUGCACGAAAGCGUGGGGAGCAAACAGGAUUAGAUACCCUUGUA